rnacentral:rRNA from 1 species
GACGAACGCUGGCGGCGUGCCUAAUACAUGCAAGUAGAACGCACAGUUUAUACCGUAGCUUGCUACACCAUAGACUGUGAGUUGCGAACGGGUGAGUAACGCGUAGGUAACCUGCCUGGUAGCGGGGGAUAACUAUUGGAAACGAUAGCUAAUACCGCAUAAUAUUAAUUAUUGCAUGAUAAUUAAUUGAAAGGUGCAAUUGCACCACUACCAGAUGGACCUGCGUUGUAUUAGCUAGUAGGUGAGGUAACGGCUCACCUAGGCGACGAUACAUAGCCGACCUGGGAGGGUGAUCGGCCACACUGGGACUGAGACACGGCCCAGACUCCUACGGGAGGCAGCAGUAGGGAAUCUUCGGCAAUGGACGAAAGUCUGACCGAGCAACGCCGCGUGAGUGAAGAAGGUUUUCGGAUCGUAAAGCUCGGUUGUAAGAGAAGAACGGGUGUGAGAGUGGAAAGUUCACACUGUGACGGUAUCUUACCAGAAAGGGACGGCUAACUACGUG